GUUUUGCUCAGUGGAUAGAACAUCAGCCUGUAAACUGAAGGGUUCCGGGUUCGAUUCUGGUCAAGAACA